rfam:Triticum urartu cultivar G1812 contig1124007, whole genome shotgun sequence.
CAUGUACUCCCUCUGUCCGGAAAUACUUGUCGAAGAGAUGAAUACAAAUAGAUGUAUCUAGAACUAAAAUAUAUAUAGAUACAUCCAUUUCCAGGACAAGUAUUUCGGGACGGAGGAAGUAAUAA